rnacentral:lncRNA from 1 species
UGCUUGGAAAUUAAUAUUGAAAAUUUGGACUGGGUAUCCAUUUGAUAACCAUCUCAUGUUGAUGGGCCUGACUUCAAGUGGAACCUCCUUCUUUACUGUCAAAAUAACAAACAGAAUGAGAUUUUAGAAGAACAUUGACUGAUCUUUACUUCAUAAUUGAAAGAUGGGCCUAUUAAAGGGACACAGCAGGCCUGAUGGAAUUG